GCCAGCGUAGCGUAAUGGUUAGGGUGUUAGACUAGGACCCAGGAGGCCAAGGUUCAAAUCCCUGCUCAGCUGUGCA